rnacentral:rRNA from 1 species
CUACGGGCGGCACCAGUGGGGAAUAUUGGACAAUGGGGGAAACCCUGAUCCAACAAUGCCGCGUGUGUGAAGAAGGCCUGCGGGUUGUAAAGCACUUUCGGUUGGGAGGACUGCUUCUAGCACUAAUAUUGUUGGAAGUUGACGUUACCUUCAGAAGAAGCACCGGCUAACUCCGUGCCAGCAGCCGCGGUAAUACGGAGGGUGCAGGCGUUAAUCGGAAUUACUGGGCGUAAAGCGCGCGUAGGCGGCUAGAUCAGUCGGGUGUGAAAGCCCCGGGCUUAACCUGGGAACUGCAUCCGAUACUGUCUAGCUUGAGUACAGGAGAGGAGAGUGGAAUUCCACAUGUAGCGGUGAAAUGCGUAGAUAUGUGGAGGAACACCAAUGGCGAAGGCAGCUCUCUGGCCUGAUACUGACGCUGAGGUGCGAAAGCGUGGGGAGCAAACAGGAUUAGAUACCCGGGUAGUC